rnacentral:rRNA from 1 species
UACGUAGGGGGGCGAGCGUUGUCCGGAUUUAUUGGGCGUAAAGAGCGUGUAGGCGGCCAGGUAGGUCUGCUGUGAAAACUCGAGGCUCAACCUCGAGACGUCGGCGGAAACCCAUCUGGCUAGAGUCCGGAAGAGGAGAGUGGAAUUCCUGGUGUAGCGGUGAAUGCGCAGAUAUCAGGAAGAACACCCGUGGCGAAGGCGGCUCUCUGGGACGGUACUGACGCUGAGACGCGAAAGCGUGGGGAGCGAACAGG